rnacentral:rRNA from 1 species
UUCGAGUGGCGGACGGGCGAGUAACGCGUGGGUAACCUGCCUUACACAGGGGGAUAACACCUGGAAACAGGUGCUAAUACCGCAUAAGCGCACAGGGCCGCAUGGCCCGGUGUGAAAAACUCCGGUGGUGUAAGAUGGACCCGCGUCUGAUUAGCUUGUUGGCGGGGUAGGGGCCCACCAAGGCGACGAUCAGUAGCCGGCCUGAGAGGGUGGACGGCCACAUUGGGACUGAGACACGGCCCAAACUCCUACGGAAGGCAGCAG